rnacentral:rRNA from 1 species
GAUGAACGCUGGCGGCGUGCCUAAUACAUGCAAGUCGAGCGAACGGACGAGAAGCUUGCUUCUCUGAUGUUAUCGGCGGACGGGUGAGUAACACGUGGAUAACCUACCUAUAAGACUGGGAUAACUUCGGGAAACCGGAGCUAAUACCGGAUAAUAUUUUGAACCGCAUGGUUCAAAAGUGAAAGACGGUCUUGCUGUCACUUAUAGAUGGAUCCGCGCUGCAUUAGCUAGUUGGUAAGGUAACGGCAUACCAAGGCAACGAUGCAUAGCCGACCUGAGAGGGUGAUCGGCCACACUGGAACUGAGACACGGUCCAGACUCCUACGGGAGGCAGCAGUAGGGAAUCUUCCGCAAUGGGCGAAAGCCUGACGGAGCAACGCCGCGUGAGUGAUGAAGGUCUUCGGAUCGUAAAACUCUGUUAUUAGGGAAGAACAUAUGUGUAAGUAACUGUGCACAUCUUGACGGUACCUAAUCAGAAAGCCACGGCUAACUACGUG